CAAUAGCGUAUAUUAAAGUUGUUGCGGUUAAAAAGCUCGUAGUUGGAUUUCAGUCUUAACUCGUCUGGCCCGCUCCCUUGAGGAGCCGAGUGCCGGUUGCGAGUUGGACUUCCUUCUAGCAUGGAACCUCUACCGUUAUGCGGCCGGGGGGGACAUCUGGAUCAUUUACUUUGAAGAAAUUAGAGUGUUCAAAGCAAGCUUACGCUGUGAAUAUAUUAGCAUGGAAUAAUAACAUAGGACUUUGUUUCUAUUUUGUUUGGUUUCUAGAAACGAGUAAUGAUUGAUAGGGACAGUUGGGGGUGGCUGCUAUUAUAUGGCCAGAGGUGAAAUUCACGGAUUCAUAUAAGAGCAACUUAUGCGAAAGCAUUCACCAAGGAUGUCUUCUUUAAUCAAGAACGAAAGUUAGGGGAGUCGAAGAUGAUUAGAUACCAU
rnacentral:rRNA from 1 species